rnacentral:misc_RNA from 1 species
GUAUUUAGAUACCCAAAGUACAAAUCUUUUUUUGCUGCAGCCCUUGGGUCUGGCACCCAGUUGUUCACUCUCACUGUCUUUAUUUUUAUUCUUGCACUGGUUGGUGUNNNNNNNNNCAAUCGAGGAGCUUUAUUUACUGCACUGGUGGUCAUAUAUGCACUAACGUCUGGAAUUGCUGGAUACACAGCAACUUCUUUCUA